CGACCCCAGGUCAGGCGGGAUCACCCGCUGAGUUUAAGCAUAUCAAUAAGCGGAGGAAAAGAAACUAACAAGGAUUCCCUUAGUAACGGCGAGCGAACCGGGAAGAGCCCAGCUUGAAAAUCGGACGUCUUCGGCGUUCGA
rnacentral:rRNA from 10 species